GUGGGGAAUCUUAGACAAUGGGGGAAACCCUGAUCUAGCCAUGCCGCGUGAUCGAUGAAGGCCUUAGGGUUGUAAAUAUCUUUCAGCUGGGAAGAUAAUGACGGUACCAGCAGAAGAAGCCCCGGCUAACUCCGUGCCAGCAGCCGCGGUAAUACGGAGGGGGCUAGCGUUGUUCGGAAUUACUGGGCGUAAAGCGCACGUAGGCGGAUUGGAAAGUUGGGGGUGAAAUCCCGGGGCUCAACCCCGGAACUGCCUUCAAAACUCCCAGUCUUGAGGUCGAGAGAGGUGAGUGGAAUUCCGAGUGUAGAGGUGAAAUUCGUAGAUAUUCGGAGGAACACCAGUGGCGAAGGCGGCUCACUGGCUCGAUACUGACGCUGAGGUGCGAAAGCGUGGGGAGCAAACAGGAUUAGAUACCCCGGUAGUCC
rnacentral:rRNA from 1 species